GAAGGAGGAGAAAAGAGAGAGACCAAGAGGGGGAGAGAGCAAGGUCCUCUCAACCCUAAAAUCCUUAGAAGGACAUUUUGUUCCCAACCAAGGGUAGGGUGACCACUUCCAGCCCUCAGUCCCCCUCCGUGCUAUAAUUAAAGGCAGCUUACUUUGCACCACUCCAGGGCAGAAUGCAGAGAUUCCGGCCACGAGUGAAGUGAGUCACAUGGAAAGGAUGCAUUGUGGUAGUUACAUUUCAGUGAAGUACCUGCUGGAAGGAAGGUUGAGAUUUAAAGAUACUUCAAACUGGCAUUAGCCACAGAGGAACAGGCCUAUUACCGCAGCACUGUUCUAGCUGCCAUAGAUGAAGUUGUGUCAGUGCUUCCGUUAUAAACCUCUCUUUCCAAAGGUUUACAACAGGGCCAUAAAAGUGCAUCCUAUGUUGAAUCUGGGCCUAUAAAGGCAUGACCUGGGAAUCACAUUUUGCAUAUCUCUAUAUAAUCAUCUAUGCCCAUAGCCACACACUUAAUGGUUACACGUGAAGGCUCACGCAGAGAGAGAGGCUCUCAAACUUGCCAUAAACAGGGACAAAUAUUUGGGUCAUUUUUAUGGCAGCACAGAAGGCAAGAGCUCAUUGCUGCCGUGUGAUGCUGUGCUGUGGAGUUUUCAAGAUGACACUAUUACAUUUUGGAUUGUCUUCCGCUGCAGAUGAAGAAUUUUAGUGCAUUUUACAUACUGGAGAUGGCAUUUCUGACUUUCUGAAAUAUCCUCUCCCUUCUGUGAUGUGGCCUCUUGUACUAUCUCCUAUCCCAUGCAUCCUUCUACACAUCUUGCUACUCCCCAUCAAGGGAUGGAGGCUAAUUACCCUUUCCUUGAACGUGGGUGGGCCGGUGACUCACCACAAGGGCUAGAAUAUGGCAGAACCGAUGCUACGUGACCUUUGAAGCGGUAUCAUAAAACAUGAGGUAAUUUCUGACUUUGAAAUACUUGUUCCUGAACUUUCAGGCUUCCAUGUAAGCAAGCCAACUCCCCAGAGGCUCCAUGUCCUGAGGAAGUCUAAAUAGACCUCAGGGAGAGUCUGCGGGAGUUGCACUGACACUACAAGAAGAGAGAAAGAACUGUCCAAGUCAAGUCCUUCUCUGCUUGCAGGAGAGAUUCCAAACCCUGCCAAGCUGUCCCCAGACUUCUAACCCACAGAUACCCAUAAGAGAUAAUAAUGCAGUGGUGGUGUUUUAAAGCCACUAAAUUUGGGGCAAUGAUUUGUGAUUCAGCAAGAGUAACUAGAAUGUGGGAAAAAAAAAAAGAGGGAUAUAUGUUUAGUUAGUUAGUUUCUAGCAGACCCAGAAACCAAGCAGACUUUUUCAUGCAUUACUGGCAAAUAAUACAGGAAUAACAAAACAGAUACUGAGCUGUCUCCUGUCCUGUUUGAGACUGGUAAGCAAGUCAAUUGAUUGCUUUGGAUUUUCAUUCCAUUCACUUUGUAAGUGGGGAAGCAGUGUUGCAAGCAUCUCUCUCUGCCUCUCGCGUUCUCUAUCACCCCUUCCUCCAGUAAAUAAUAGUUUCUAUCCAAUAAAUAAAUAAAGAUAAUAAAAAAUGUAGAAAAAUAAAUACAGAUAAGCCUGACCUUAUGAAGUUUAAAUUUGAGUUGGGGAGGCACAAAAAACAACUUGGUAAUAAUAAUCACAAGGUCAUUUAGAUGGCAGUACUUUAAACAAGAAGAGUUAGUUAUUUACUAAGGAGAAAAAGAGGGGAGAGGAUAAAGAGAAAGAGAAAAUCCUAGUGUCAUGCUGGUAGAUGAGAUGCUAGCAGACCUCAAGUUUGAAAUUCCAGCACUUGAUUCACUGUGCUAUCUCCUAGGUCACUGGAGAGCAACACUUUCUGUGAAGUUAACAGAACUUUUUGAGUGCUGCAACAUCAAGGACCAUCUAUCUUUAUAUGGGGAAUUGAGAUUUGCAGAGAAAACCAUGAAUUCGGAGGAAUCCAUUCAUUAAGAGGCAAUGUAGCAUAGUAGUUACGAGUGGAAACUCAGACAGGACUAAGGAGAAUUUUUUUGCUAUGUAAUUUAUAAAUGAUGUGACCUUGGAUAAAUGUCUUAAACUUUGUUACCUUCAGUUUACUUAUCUAUAAAAUGGGUUAUGUUACAGACAUUAUGAAAGUUAAAUAAAACAACACAUGUUAAGUA